GGUUAAGUUAAUAAGGGCGCACGGUGGAUGCCUUGGCACUAGAAGCCGAUGAAGGACGUGACUAACGACGAAAUGCUUUGGGGAGUUGUAAGUAAACAUUGAUCCAGAGAUGUCCGAAUGGGGGAACCCGGCAUGUGAAGCAUGUCACUCAUUACUGUUAAGGUAAUGAAGAGGAAGACGCAGUGAACUGAAACAUCUAAGUAGCUGCAGGAAGAGAAAGCAAACGCGAUUGCCUUAGUAGCGGCGAGCGAAACGGCAAGAGGGCAAACCGAUGUGUUUACACAUCGGGGUUGUAGGACUGCGUUGUGGGACGCAAGAUUAUAGAAGAAUUACCUGGGAAGGUAAGCCAAAGAGAGUAAUAGCCUCGUAAUCGAAAUAAUCUUAAACCCUAGCAGUAUCCUGAGUACGGCGAGACACGAGAAAUCUCGUCGGAAUCCGGGAGGACCAUCUCCCAACCCUAAAUACUCUCUAGUGACCGAUAGUGAACCAGUACCGUGAGGGAAAGGUGAAAAGCACCCCGGGAGGGGAGUGAAAUAGAACCUGAAACCGUGUGCCUACAACAAGUUCGAGCCCGUUAAUGGGUGAGAGCGUGCCUUUUGUAGAAUGAACCGGCGAGUUACGAUAUGAUGCGAGGUUAAGUUGAAGAGACGGAGCCGUAGGGAAACCGAGUCUUAAUAGGGCGCUUUAGUAUCAUGUCGUAGACCCGAAACCAUGUGACCUACCCAUGAGCAGGGUGAAGGUGAGGUAAAACUCACUGGAGGCCCGAACCAGGGCACGUUGAAAAGUGCUUGGAUGACUUGUGGGUAGCGGAGAAAUUCCAAACGAACUUGGAGAUAGCUGGUUCUCUCCGAAAUAGCUUUAGGGCUAGCGUCGAUGUUAAGUCUCUUGGAGGUAGAGCACUGUUUGAUUGAGGGUCCGUAGUCGAAAGGGAAACAGCCCAGACCACCAGCUAAGGUCCCAAAAUAUAUGUUAAGUGGAAAAGGAUGUGGGGUUGCACAGACAACUAGGAUGUUAGCUUAGAAGCAGCUAUUCAUUCAAAGAGUGCGUAAUAGCUCACUAGUCGAGUGACCCUGCGCCGAAAAUGUACCGGGGCUAAAACAUAUUACCGAAGCUGUGGAUACCUAUUAUAGGUAUGGUAGGAGAGCGUUCUAUGUGUGAAGAAGGUGUACCGUGAGGAGCGCUGGAACGCAUAGAAGUGAGAAUGCCGGUAUGAGUAGCGAAAGACAGGUGAGAAUCCUGUCCACCGUAAGACUAAGGUUUCCAGGGGAAGGCUCGUCCGCCCUGGGUUAGUCGGGACCUAAGGAGAGACCGAAAGGUGUAUCCGAUGGCCAACAGGUUGAUAUUCCUGUACUAGAGUAUAUAGUGAAGGAGGGACGCAGUAGGCUAACUAAAGCGUGCGAUUGGAAGAGCACGUCUAAGCAGUGAGGUGUGAUAUGAGUCAAAUGCUUGUAUCUCUAACAUUGAGCUGUGAUGGGGAGCGAAGUUAAGUAGCGAAGUUAGUGAUGUCACACUGCCAAGAAAAGCUUCUAGCGUUAAUUAUACUCUACCCGUACCGCAAACCGACACAGGUAGUCGAGGCGAGUAGCCUCAGGUGAGCGAGAGAACUCUCGUUAAGGAACUCGGCAAAAUGGCCCCGUAACUUCGGGAGAAGGGGCGCUGGCUUUAAGUCAGCCGCAGUGAAUAGGCCCAAGCAACUGUUUAUCAAAAACACAGCUCUCUGCUAAAUCGUAAGAUGAUGUAUAGGGGGUGACGCCUGCCCGGUGCUGGAAGGUUAAGAGGAGCGCUUAGCGUAAGCGAAGGUGUGAAUUGAAGCCCCAGUAAACGGCGGCCGUAACUAUAACGGUCCUAAGGUAGCGAAAUUCCUUGUCGGGUAAGUUCCGACCCGCACGAAAGGCGUAAUGAUUUGGGCACUGUCUCAACGAGAGACUCGGUGAAAUUUUAGUACCUGUGAAGAUGCAGGUUACCCGCGACAGGACGGAAAGACCCCAUGGAGCUUUAC
rnacentral:rRNA from 1 species